rnacentral:rRNA from 1 species
CCUACGGGGAGCAGCAGUGAGGAAUAUUGGUCAAUGGACGAGAGUCUGAACCAGCCAAGUAGCGUGAAGGAUGACUGCCCUAUGGGUUGUAAACUUCUUUUAUAUGGGAAUAAAAUGUUCCACGUGUGGGAUUUUGUAUGUACCAUAUGAAUAAGGAUCGGCUAACUCCGUGCCAGCAGCCGCGGUAAUACGGCGGAUCCGAGCGUUAUCCGGAUUUAUUGGGUUUAAAGGGAGCGUAGGUGGAUUGUUAAGUCAGUUGUGAAAGUUUGCGGCUCAACCGUAAAAUUGCAGUUGAAACUGGCAGUCUUGAGUACAGUAGAGGUGGGCGGAAUUCGUGGUGUAGCGGUGAAAUGCUUAGAUAUCACGAAGAACUCCGAUUGCGAAGGCAGUUCACUGGACUGCAACUGACACUGAGGCUCGAAAGUGUGGGUAUCAAACAGGAUUAGAGACCCGAGUAGUC